AUUGAACGCUGGCGGCAGGCCUAACACAUGCAAGUCGAGCGAGUGGCGGACGGGUGAGUAAUGUAUGGGGAUCUGCCUGAUGGAGGGGGAUAACUACUGGAAACGGUGGCUAAUACCGCAUACUAUCAGAUGUGCCCAGAUGGGAUUAGCUUGUUGGUGGGGUAACGGCUCACCAAGGCGACGAUCCCUAGCUGGUCUGAGAGGAUGACCAGCCACACUGGAACUGAGACACGGUCCAGACGCCUACGGGAGGCAGCAGUGGGGAAUAUUGCACAAUGGGCGCAAGCCUGAUGCAGCCAUGCCGCGUGUAUGAAGAAGGCCUUCGGGUUGUAAAGUACUUUCAGCGGGGAGGCGUUACCCGCAGAAGAAGCACCGGCUAACUCCGUGCCAGCAGCCGCGGUAAUUC
rnacentral:rRNA from 1 species